AGUAUGGGGCUUAGUCAACUUCCUCUUGUGCUCUUGCUGAUUUCAAAUAUCCACUCUGGACAAACUGAAGGAAGACCAAAACCCACAGUGACCAUUACGCCUGAUCAACAUGUAUUCAGAGGAGAGACAGUCACUCUCAGAUGUGACAUAUAUGGUGGAGUCAAUAGCUGGGACUACUUCUGGUAUAAAGAAGGUUUAGACAGAGUUUUCAGUGAUCAAAAGGAACACACAUUCAGGUCUGUUACUGAGUCUGAUGCAGGUAAAUACUCCUGUGAUGGAUUCAUUGGAUCAAACGGCUCUAAUCGCAGUGAUACAGUUACACUGACAGUAUCAGGUGAGGGUGAUCAUCUUUUCAUAUUCACACAAACACACUUUUAACAUGUUAUUAAUGAGGGAUUUCUCAAUGUCAGCUCCCAUAGCAGUUUUCU